CCAUGAGCUCAUCUGUCUCAGCCCCAUUUAUUUCUCCUGGGUGAUGAGAAGACCUGUGCUUCUCCGUUAAAAGGCACUAGGAAAGAAGGAGUUAAAGUGAAGGCAGGCUCGCUGGUUUGCUGAGAUCUGUCAGAGGCUGACUGGCUGGCUACAUAUCUGUCUCUGGAACAAUAGGUACCUGUAUUCUGCAUGGGCUGCUGGGCAGGCAGUACUAACACUCUGGAGAAGGUCUGCCUCUGUCUGAGCCUUCCUGGUGAGAUUCCCCAGUAACAGUCCUACUUUUCAGAGGAGAGAGAGAGAGAGAGAGAGAGAGAGAGAGAGAGAGAGAGAGAGAGAGAGAGAGAGUUUGAGGCUGUCUACUCUGUUGAUAGAGGACAAAGCUUUGAUCAUUUUUGUUCAGGCUUCACUUGGUGAGAGGUUUUAGGUUCUUAGUCUCAAGUCAGUAGUUGUGCUGCCUUCCCCCCCCCUCCCCUUUCUUUCAUAUUCUCUUUCUGCCGCCCUCCCUCUCUCAUUUCUCCUCAUAGGUUCAAUGCAGGCAGAUGAGUGCCACAGCUGUAACUGAGGCGUAGAAUAAUCAACACAUCGGAGCCAAUCCCCCUGACACCAAGAGGGGAAUCCGGCAGAGGUGACCGACCGCGAGGACAAGACCGUUCUUCUGACAAGUUUUAGACUCUUGUUAGAAAGGAGCCCGGGUGAAUCAGAGGCUAUGGAGAACGCAGCCCAAUUCAGCAGAUGAGCCGGAAUACAGUCCUGCUCCCUUAAAAACUGCUAAUUGAUGGAUGCUGCGGGGGAACAGACACCGCGAACGAGGGCAAAAUAGGAAUCAGGAGAGGCACGUAUUGCCGAUAGCACCACCGAUUUCCUUCUCAAAGCAGCUUGCACGGACUAUCCUCAGGAAAAUGAGAUCCAGGAGAAGUGACGCCCUCCUCGAACUGAAAGAUACUCAUGCUAAUGGUGUCACGGAAGAAGCGAUGUAUCGACAGCUCAGGAUGGCUGCAGGGGACAUAUUCAGACGUGGCCCAGAUUGUCUGCCCAUGGGGACUGAGAUACCUCUGAGAUUUAUAUCAGAUCUCCACAGUCUUUGUCGCUGUAUUUUGUUAGAAAGAAAGGCGAGGCUGUUUCUACAGGUGCCACAGAAAAAUCGAUGCCGAGUCACGGAUUAUUGGAUCCCACAGAACCAUGGAGACUUGGCGGUGAAAUUCUUCUAAAGUUUCUUCUGGCUAUCAGAGAGUUGAAAGGGGAAAAAAAAAUAAAGAGCCAAAGCUGUUUCAACUUCUUGGUUGUUUUACUCCAUGGCUUAGCAUUCCAUCUGCGCAGGCAGAGGUGUUCCUGGUUUGGGAAGUAUAAAUCCCGCGGGAAGUCAACUGGAGAACAUUUUACGCGUCCGUCACUCAUCCUAUUAUGAGCCUGCUGCUCUUCCUUCUCUGGACAAGCCUAAACUUUAAGAUUUGCUGAACAAACCUUGUGUCAAAUUUGGACCACCUAGACAGUAUUCCACCCUGAUUGUAUCCCAUGUCACUAUUCUGUGCAAGGCCACCGACUAGAAGAGCACAGAAUUAUUAAAAAGAAAACAAAAAAAAAAACCAAAAAAAACACAGCUGAAAGUGAACGUCUUUGGAUUUCCCAUUUAAUGAGUUGGCAGCUAAAGGACAGGAGCAGCAAUAAGGCUGCCUGGCUACAUUUUCAUAGUGCCACCAACUGCGAGUUAAGCUGACAAACAUUUUGAGAGCUCGGCCCAUUUCAUUCACAGCAGGAUGGCAGGAGUUAACUAACACUGUAAAAAAAACCUAACUAAAAAUCGUGCCUUUACUGCACAUUUGCACAGAAUCUCAGGACUGAAAGUGUCGAAGUUCUGCUCGACAAGCGGGUGACUGAUUGUCCCUGCCAGCUGGCUAAUAUCAUAAUUAGCAAAGUUGCUACCACAUCUGCAAAGUUUAAUCGAAAAAUUUACCAGUGGUAUGAUGGCAUUGUCACCAUGAUCCCAAGGGAAUCGGAGUCGACUUCUGCUUCAGGAGGAACGGCAAGGCUGUAUAGCUGAGAUGAGAAAUUGUAAACUUGCUCAGCCAAAGGUUAUGCUUCGCAUCACCCACCAGGGAGGAUCAUCUCUCAUGAAAACUUUCAAAUUUGAUUUUGAAAAUUUAUUCAGAAAAAUUUAAGCCACGCUCUUUUUCAACACAGAAAAUAAUAUGCUCCAGAGAAUCCUCUAAUUCACAGAAAAUGGACUCGGAUAACAUUUGGGUUCUCAUACUACCACAGUUCUCUUGAGAAGGACAGCCAGGAGGCUAAUAAUGAAGGGGCCAGGGAAGGAGGCCAAUGCUACAAGGGUUAUCUCUCAACCUCAGAUGUUGGAUAAGUCAGGGAACAGCGUCGUUUCUGGAUGGCUUCAGACAGGCCGGACUGACUGUUUGGAAGAGAAAAACCUGCUUAUUCUUUCAAAGGUACAUGAAUGUUGUCCACACCUUCCCGUCUAAAGGUUAGAAUCUUGCCUUAGACAAAGGAUGCUCUUGGAGUCCCACCACACCUAAAACCACGCUUUGAAGGAUCUGCCAAGCUCACUUUUAAUCAUGAGAAAGAAAUUACCCACAUGGAGACAGCAGAAAAUGAGAAAGGAGAGAUCGUGCUGCGAAUAAUUCCAGCGAGUGCCAAGGGGCUAGUUGAGGAAUGGCUUCAUGAGGUGAAUAUCUUAGCUUGUACUUAGAAUUUGGUUAGCGUAUAAUCAGUUUCUCUUUUAGGAGCGAAUACAAUCCUAAGUGUAUUUCCCAUCUGAGCACCGCUCAGGGCAUUUAUCAGGAUGUUGACAUAUUUAAUAUCGGCCUCGUCCUCGCCGUUAUUUAUGAUGACUAAUUUUACACUUAUAAAUAUGCAGAAAUCGAUGUAGGUGGAAAGGCUCUCUGAGCCCCAUGUCUGUCGCUAGCCGUCUGUCUUCAUGUGCAGCGCUCUGCUAGUGUGGCCUGUCCAGUAAUGUGUGUCUCUGUGUAUGUGCGUGCUCUUGUUGUCUCCUCUCCGCUGUGAAUGUGCAUUGGGAGAAUUAGCCUUAUGACAGGAUAUCAAAAGAUGGGCCCAAGACUUUCAUUUUUGGAAUGGAAAGAAAAAAUAAUGCGUAACACUUUGUAUCACAUCAGUUUCAAUUCUUCCUGAGAGGGAGGGGGCCAAUCAGGUAUGAGUCAUCACAGGGCAAAGCAACCAGGAUUCAAAUUGAACAUCACCUUCAGUGUCAAAUUAGUUGAAAGUCCCCCUUUUCCUUUACGGUGACUGGCUGAAACCCCUGCCAUUAUGUCUGUUUGUUUUAAAAGGGUGGGGGGAGCUGCCUGAGUUCAUCCACAGUGCCAUGUAGCUUUUCUUUGUUUCAUUUUUCUAAGGAUCAGAUCCAAGAAAAAUAAUAGGUUAGUAAUUCAAGACCAUCACUACUUACACGGUUCUCUCCCGGGCAUGUCAUUUCUUUGGGUGCCAAGUUUCAUCAAGAUCACUAAGUAAACAAAUGAGCGAUAACUUUUUUGCUCCUUUUUUCUUUUAAUUUGACUAGGGAGUAAGAACUGGGAAAGUCAAGUGUCUUUAUGAGUCACAGAGGAAGAAUGCAGGAACCCCCACCCCCACCCCCCAACUUCUGGUCUCAGACUUUGAUUUCCCACACAACCAAGUCACGGGAUCGCCAUGCCAACCUUAAGCAAUUUUGGCUCCCAGCAAUCCUGUGCUGGGGAAUCUUUCAAACUACCCUUCAAUCCGGGUCCAAAGGGCCACAGCACAGACUAGUAGAAAGAGUGCAUUAUCUGAGAAAGCACCAGGCUGCUUUCCCAUUGGUAUAUGUGUUUGGUGCCACGGUUAAGCACCGCUGGGGUCUAAUACGUGGAUGACCCCCUUUAUAGAGUGUGGGGGCUUCUGAGGAAAAGGCAAGCAUUGACUAAGAAAAAGAGUCAUUCUUCCAUGUGUUUUCAUAAAAGGACAAGGCAGGCCUCUUUGAGAGCUUCUGAAAGAGAAGAGGCAUGGGAGGAGAUGAGCCAGCUGGGGGUGGGUUGUUUUGGGGAGGGGAGCCAGCUGGGGAAUGGAGAGAGAGAGAGAGAGGCUGGGGAGAUAGCCAGCUGGGAGAAGAGGUAGGAUAAAGCCAAGGCACAAAGGUACAGGCAGAUGAGCAGCUGUGUUUAUUUGAAUACAUAUCAUUUAACCCUCACCUAAAAACAAAUUGGAGAGGUUUGGGAGUGCAUUAAUCUGGACCCAAUUAGCAUGUCUUUCCCCUUCAAAAGGUGCAACCUGAGAUUAAUGAAUAUCAACCAGAGUUUCAGAAGCAGCACUUAAAUCAUUUGCAUGUUUGUGCAUGAUAAUUGGAUUUAUGUAUGCACUUCCUUUCAUUUAACUAUUUCCAGUCUCCUUAUGAGUGAGUCAUACAACCCAAAACUUCAUUCGAGUGAUUUCUAGGUAGAAAUAGCUUACCUAGCAUUCUACCCCUAAGGGGGGAAAAACUCAAGUGGUUGUACAUUUUGAAUUUGAAUACCACAUUUCUUUCUUUUAUUAUUAUUUUUUUUAACAUAGAGGGCAGUUGAUAAUAGUGUGGAAUGCUGCUGCUUCUGGAGUUGGUAAAUAGGCACCACAGAUUUAUCUUUAAAAGGCUAGGAAAAUAAGGAAAUUUCCAACAUCAAGCUUUCAUGGCUUCCGUGUGGCCACUAGUAAGAGAUUUUAUAAUGCUAGGAACGAGGCCACUUGAAUGCCGCAUGGGGAAUGUUCUUGGUGUCUGGACCUGUGGCAAUUAGAUCACAGAGACAUCAGCAUCCAGGAUGGUUUAUGGCAUAGUUAGAAAUGUGUUUCUAUAGAAAGAGAUGGGAAUGCGGUCAACAUCUGUGAACUGCUGUGGACAGGCAAGGAGCAUUGUGAACCCUUGAUGCUGUGGGUUUGGUCCUUCUCAUUUCCUCCCUCCCUCCCUUCCUUCCUUCCUCCCUCCCUCUCUCCC
rnacentral:sRNA from 1 species